rnacentral:rRNA from 1 species
AGCGAACGCUGGCGGCAGGCUUAACACAUGCAAGUCGAGCGGGCAUCCUUGUGGUGUCAGCGGCAGACAGGUGAGUAACGCGUGGGAACGUGCCCUUCGGUUCGGAAUAACUCAGGGAAACUUGAGCUAAUACCGGAUACGUGCGAGAGCAGAAAGGUUUAUCUGCCGAAGGAUCGGCCCGCGUCUGAUUAGCUAGUUGGUGAGGUUAUGGCUCACCAAGGCGACGAUCAGUAGCUGGUCUGAGAGGAUGAUCAGCCACACUGGGACUGAGACACGGCCCAGACUCCUACGGGAGGCAGCAGUGGGGAAUAUUGGACAAUGGGGGCAACCCUGAUCCAGCCAUGCCGCGUGAGUGAUGACGGCCUUAGGGUUGUAAAGCUCUUUUCUUCGGGACGAUAAUGACGGUACCGGAGGAAUAAGCCCCGGCUAACUUCGUG